rnacentral:lncRNA from 1 species
CCGGCUCCAGCGGCUCAACUUUCCUGCGGUGCUCUAAACGGUUUAUCAUCCCAGAUCAUAAACCCCGGCUUCCGUCCAUCCUCCCUUAGCGGCUUCCUGUCCAGCUGGGCCUUGCUCGUCUUUGGGGGAGGCACUCGCCUCCUCAGUUUCCCACUGCUUGAAAGUAAAAUAAAUGAAGCCCAAACCCCGAUCACCCGGCGGCGUGCAGUCCGGUGCCGGUCCCCCCUGGUCCCCGGAAGAGCCCCCCGCGGACUCCGCCUGGCCGGCCAGGCCCGCCCCCCGGCCGCCGUGAACACCCGGAGGAGCGGACUCGGGUCGCGCGGGAAACCGGGCCGGCUCGGGCCGCGGACUGGGCAUGCUCGUCAGCCCGGGAGGCUCGCGGUGGCAAGUCGGAAGCGUUCGCACCAGCGAGGCAGCGGCCGGGGCAGCGGCGGCGGUCAGGACGGGAGUGGGAAGGGCCGGUCCGGUCAGGUUGCUAGUCCCUUGCUCCUGGCAGGCCGACCCAAGAGCGCGAUCCCGUGCAGAGCCCGGACGCUGCCCUGCCCCGGAUUUCGUUCCGCGGCUGGGGGAUCGGCGAGCGGAAUUCCGGGCGGCUGCAGAGACUCCGUUGCAAGGCGAAGAAGGCAGCAUGAGCGACCCCUGAAUGUGCAUUUGGGCAUAUUUAACCAUUUGGUUUUGAGUAGGAGAAAGAAGACGGCCAUCCCUGUGAAAGGCAAAGCUUCAGUGCCCGAGGAGGUUGUGGAUUUUGAGUAUCAAGAACAGUGA